UAAUUCAGCCAUAUCACCCUGCAACUCACAACUGGCAACCCACUGAAGCUAAGCAGGUGUGAGCCUGGUCAGUACCUGGAUGGGAGACCUCCUGGGAAAAACUAAGGUUGCUGCUGGAA
rnacentral:rRNA from 1 species